rnacentral:rRNA from 1 species
UACGAAGGGGCUAGCGUUGCUCGGAAUCACUGGGCGUAAAGCGCACGUAGGCGGGUUGCCAAGUCGGGGGUGAAAUCCUGGAGCUCAACUCCAGAACUGCCUUCGAUACUGGCGAUCUUGGAGUCCGGGAGAGGUGAGUGGAACUGCGAGUGUAGAGGUGAAAUUCGUAGAUAUUCGCAAGAACACCAGUGGCGAAGGCGGCUCACUGGCCCGGUACUGACGCUGAGUGCGCGAAGCGUGGGGAGCAAACAGG